UGGGGAAUAUUGCACAAUGGGGGAAACCCUGAUGCAGCGACGCCGCGUGAACGAAGAAGGUAUUCGUAUCGUAAAGUUCUGUCCUAUGGGAAGAUAAUGACAGUACCAUAGAAGAAAGCUCCGGCUAAAUACGUGCCAGCAGCCGCGGUAAUACGUAUGGAGCGAGCGUUGUCCGGAAUUAUUGGGCGUAAAGGGUACGCAGGCGGUUUAAUAAGUCGAAUGUUAAAGAUCGGGGCUCAACCCCGUAAAGCAUUGGAAACUGAUAAACUUGAGUAGGUGAGAGGAAAGUGGAAUUCCUAGUGUAGUGGUGAAAUACGUAGAUAUUAGGAGGAAUACCAGUAGCGAAGGCGACUUUCUGGACACAAACUGACGCUGAGGUACGAAAGCGUGGGGAGCAAACAGG
rnacentral:rRNA from 2 species